AAAGAGAGAGAGAUGGGAGGCAUGUGAAUAUCACAUGAAGUGAAUGAGGACGGUGAAUGACAUGUUCAUCAAAAUCCAAACCUAAUCAAUCAUGUUCUAAUAAUUCACCUCUCUUAGCUUGUUUCUACUUUUUUUUUUUUUUUUUAUCUUUUUCAUUCAUCUACCUACAUAUUUGGGUCCUUUCUCAACUGAUCUUUUGACUUUCUAAACUUUGACUUAAUUUUUCUUCAUAAUGAUACAAAC
rnacentral:lncRNA from 1 species